rnacentral:ncRNA from 1 species
CCAUCAAGGGCGCGUGAAGGUUCCCCGUCCGGGCAGCGAAGCGCCCGGGGAUGAAACGGGAAUGCGGUGCGGGCCGAUCCCAGGCGGAGGCCCAAUUCCGCAGCCGCCCCCGCGACUGUAAGCGGCGAGCGGCCUGCCAGAGGCCACUGGGGGCGACGCCCCCGGGAAGGCGGCAGGUCGCUGCGACCCGCGAGCCAGGAGACCGGCCUGUCACGCGAUGAAAAA